AUUGAACGCUGGCGGCAGGCCUAACACAUGCAAGUCGAGCGAGCGGCGGACGGGUGAGUAAUGCCUAGGAAUCUGCCUGGUAUUGGGGGAUAACUUCCGGACACGUUAGCUAAUACCGCAUACCAUCAGAUGUGCCCAGAUGGAAUUAGCUAGUAGGUGGGGUAAAGGCUCACCUAUGCGACGAUCCCUAGCUGGUCUGAGAGGAUGACCAGCCACACUGUAAUUGAGACACGGCCCAGACGCCUACGGGAGGCAGCAGUGGGGAAUAUUGCACAAUGUGCGCAAGCGUGAUGUAGCCAUGCCGCGUGUAUGACGAAGGCCUUCGGGUUGUAAAGUACUCUCAGCGGGGAGGCGUUACCCGCAGAAGAAGCACCGGCUAACUCCGUGCCAGCAGCCGCGGUAAUUC
rnacentral:rRNA from 1 species